rnacentral:rRNA from 1 species
AUACGUAGGUGACAAGCGUUAUCCGGAUUUACUGGGCGUAAAGGGCGUGUAGGCGGUCUUGCAAGUCAGAAGUGAAAUUCCUGAGCUCAACUCGGGCGCUGCUUCUGAAACUGCAGGACUUGAGUGCUGGAGGGGAUAGCGGAAUUCCUAGUGGAGCGGUAAAAUGCGCAGAUAUUAGGAAGAACACCGGUGGCGAAGGCGGCUAUCUGGCCAGUAACUGACGAUGAGGGGCGAAAGCGGGGAGAGCAAACAGGAUUAGAUACCCGUGUAGUCCACGCCGUAAACGAUGAAUACUAGGUGUAGGGGGUAUCGACUCCCUCUGUGCCGCAGUUAACACAAUAAGUAUUCCGCCUGGGGAGUACGGCCGCAAGGUUGAAACUCAAAUGAAUUGACGGGG